GCUAACAGUGCUCCUGCUAUUCAGUCUUCUAGAAUGACGGCAAUUAGGCUUCUGACAUAAGGAGGAACAUCAGGCCUAGGACUGGAAAGGAUUUCCUUUGCUGUCACUAUCAACUACAUCACAAAUGGAUCAAGCUCCAUCUUACGACCAGCGAGGUUAAAUCGAUCAGGACAGGCUGCCUGCUGUUUAAAUGAAAGCACCACAUUUCCUGACAGCUCGUGCACAGGUGGCCCAGGUCUCAAUCUAAACAGCUUGAGUAGAAAUCAAUCUUGGAAGCAGAGGAGGAGGGAGGUAUCACUUCAUGUCAUCCCCAUUUUGAACAAAGAAUUGCACCUUACCACAGUGAGAAUGCUUCAUCAUGAGGAAAAGGAAUGGAAAGGAAAAGCUGACAGGUAAUCCAAC
rnacentral:lncRNA from 1 species